UAUUUUUGUUUCUUCUUCCUCAAGUUUCGUCUUUAUAUUAAAUAUCAAAGAAAAAGGAUUUUCCAACACAAAUUAUAGUAUAAGAUUGCGCGGGGAAUCUAAUUUCGAAUCUAGUUUAUUCGUUAAACUCAAGAUCAUUCUCUUAGAAACUUUGUCAUAGUUGGUUCGGUUAAUUUGGCUUAUCUUUGUUUUCUUUUGAUAAUUUGGCUUAUCGUAUUGUUAUAUCUCUUUUUCCACGA